rnacentral:rRNA from 1 species
GAUGAACGCUGGCGGUGUGCCUAAUACAUGCAAGUCGAACGCUUUUUCUUUCACCGGAGCUUGCUCCACCGAAAGAAAAAGAGUGGCGAACGGGUGAGUAACACGUGGGUAACCUGCCCAUCAGAAGGGGAUAACACUUGGAAACAGGUGCUAAUACCGUAUAACACUAUUUUCCGCAUGGAAGAAAGUUGAAAGGCGCUUUUGCGUCACUGAUGGAUGGACCCGCGGUGCAUUAGCUAGUUGGUGAGGUAACGGCGCACCAAGGCAACGAUGCAUAGCCGACCUGAGAGGGUGAUCGGCCACACUGGGACUGAGACACGGCCCAGACUCCUACGGGAGGCAGCAGUAGGGAAUCUUCGGCAAUGGACGAAAGUCUGACCGAGCAACGCCGCGUGAGUGAAGAAGGUUUUCGGAUCGUAAAACUCUGUUGUUAGAGAAGAACAAGGAUGAGAGUAGAACGUUCAUCCCUUGACGGUAUCUAACCAGAAAGCCACGGCUAACUACGUGCCAGCCGCCGCCGUAA